rnacentral:rRNA from 1 species
AGCGAGCCACCUCCCACCCGUGUUUACUGUACCUUAGUUGCUUCGGCGGGCCCGCCAUUCAUGGCCGCCGGGGGCUCUCAGCCCCGGGCCCGCGCCCGCCGGAGACACCACGAACUCUGUCUGAUCUAGUGAAGUCUGAGUUGAUUGUAUCGCAAUCAGUUAAAACUUUCAACAAUGGAUCUCUUGGUUCCGGCAUCGAUGAAGAACGCAGCGAAAUGCGAUAACUAGUGUGAAUUGCAGAAUUCCGUGAAUCAUCGAGUCUUUGAACGCACAUUGCGCCCCCUGGUAUUCCGGGGGGCAUGCCUGUCCGAGCGUCAUUGCUGCCCAUCAAGCACGGCUUGUGUGUUGGGUCGUCGUCCCCUCUCCGGGGGGGACGGGCCCCAAAGGCAGCGGCGGCACCGCGUCCGAUCCUCGAGCGUAUGGGGCUUUGUCACCCGCUCUGUAGGCCCGGCCGGCGCUUGCCGAACGCAAAUCAAUCUUUUCCA